GGAAAAUAGUCAAUAGAAAGUACCGCCGAGAUUGUCACAGCUACAGCUUUCUUAUUGGAUUGGUGGCGCGAAAUACAAACAACCCGAAUGAAACGAGCGAUCAUUACAACAGAUACGUUAAAUAAUUUGGAGGAGUCUGUGACAGAGCUGAACAAAGAAGUGGAAAGACUGACUCAGAACAUUGAAGCAGUGACGCAGUACCAGUCAUCUGUCUUCCAGGUCACUAAAGUGCUGUGCUCCUGGAUGGAUAAUAUAAAGGAACUUGCCAAACAUAGGAAACAUCUGCAUCGGACUUCUGAUACAGAGUGAGCUGCGGAUCUUUCUAUGGUGAUUGCUCCUUGGUUUACGCAGGAAACAAUUCCCAUCUUUAGCUACAGUACCGGCUCUACAAUACUGGAAUUAAAUGGUUGGUCCAAGAACAAUGAUGUCACAACAUUGUGUGAGCCUUGCUGAAUCAAAUCACAUCUUUCACGUUCCAAAUGAGGAUCCUGUGGUACAGUUAAAUAUACAAGCCAUAAGGACUGCUGUGGUUUAAAUCAAAGCGAUGGAGCCUUUGGUUUAUUCUUUAAUUUUAAGUGUAUGCUAUGGGGGAGAAGGGAAAUUCCAGGCAUUCGAAGAUGUAGAGGAGCUUCUGGUUAUUGACAAAUUAUAUUACACUGUGCUUUUCUGAUUUUUGUACAAAAGGGCAAGCUGAACAUUACCUAUGAAAAUCAUCACAUGCAUUGUUUGAGCAUUGCAAGAAAUAUAGAAAAAGGCUUUAAUACUUAGUGAUACAAGUUGUUGUGUACAAAUUACAUAUAGGAGUGUUCACAUGUCUGGAGCACUAUACAGCAGCUAGAAUGUUAACCAUAUGCAAGCGCACUAGAUGGCAGCAAUAUUUCCUGUUGAGUAGUGCUCCAGACACCAACCUAGGUAUUUUUUCAAAAAAGAAUACAAAGGGAAUGUAAUAGAAUCAAAUGCUUUGCUGUGUCUGAAUCACAAAAUAAAAAUGUUGGGUUUCAUAUCCCUUUAAUGAUAAA